rnacentral:tRNA from 1 species
GCCUGGAUGGCUCAUUCAGUAGAGCAUGGGACUCUUGAUUUCAGGGUCUUGAGUUCAAGCCCCACACUGGGCA